rnacentral:misc_RNA from 1 species
AUGUUUCUUGCAUGCCCAAUGCCCUAAUUGAAGACCCAAGAUUGCAACCCCACAGUCAAGUCAAUAAGAUCAUGUAGGCCAAAACAGACCAGGCAGACAAAGAAAGAGAAAUCACUAAAAAAAUCCACACAAGUGCAUUAUAAAGGAAACAGAUAUUAUAUAGCAUUAAGCUCUAACUAGCACAGCUGGUUAAACAUAGCAAUUCUUUUUCUUUUAAUUCUUGGUGGCAGCGGAGGGAUGGUGUAGCUGAGUAGGUGCCAGUACACUCUAAUUCAAAGAUGAAAAAUAAUCUCUUCCCCACACAGUACAUUCACAAGAACAAGGUUACAGUUCCAUGCCAAGUUGCCUACAAGUUUAAAUUGACUAUCGUAAACCCUCAUGACCAAUAUCUUGCAACACAUAUGGUCCAUUCAGUAAAUCAGAUUCACAUUAUGGAAAUAGCAAAGAUCAUAUGUAUGAGAGAAAAUGUAACAUUGAAUUUUCAAUACUAUGUCAUCAAAGAUCAGAAUACAAUGCUCAUCAAACUGCAAAGCAAUUUUGAAGAGGGCAGAAUUCACCAUUGAAUGUAGGCAAAAAGACAUUAACAAAUAUACAACUUUUUAGUGCAUAACGGCAACAACAUUAAAUGCAUGAAAGGUGGCAUUAACAUUUAAAAGAAAAUUCCUAAUACCAUUGAUCUUCCUACAUUCAUAA